rnacentral:rRNA from 1 species
AGAGUUUGAUCCUGGCUCAGAACGAACGCUGGCGGCGUGGAUAAGACAUGCAAGUCGAGCGAGAUUUUUCGUUGUAGCAAUACGAUGGAAAGUCUAGCGGCGAACGGGUGCUUAACACGUGGGCAACCUGCCAUGAAGUGGGGGAUAGCUCGCCGAAAGGCGAAUUAAUACCGCAUGUGAUUAGAGAGGACAUCCUUUCGAAAUUAAAGUCGGGGCAACCUGACGCUUCUUGUGGGGCCCGCGGCCUAUCAGCUAGUUGGUGAGGUAACGGCUCACCAAGGCUUUGACGGGUAGCUGGUCUGAGAGGACGACCAGCCACACUGGGACUGAGACACGGCCCAGACACCUACGGGUGGCAGCAGUCGAGAAUUUUUGACAAUGGGGGAAACCCUGAUCGAGCGACGCCGCGUGGAGGAUGAAGGUCUUCGGAUUGUAAACUCCUGUCAUUUGGGAACAAGGUGCACACGUUAACUGCGUGUGCAUUGAUAGUACCAGAAGAGGAAGAGACGGCUAACUCUGUGCCAGCAGCCGCGGUAAUACAGAGGUCUCAAGCGUUGUUCGGAUUCAUUGGGCGUAAAGGGUGCGUAGGCGGCGCGGUAAGUCGGGUGUGAAAUCUCGGAGCUUAACUCCGAAACUGCAUUCGAUACUGCCGUGCUUGAGGACUGGAGAGGAGACUGGAAUUUACGGUGUAGCGGUGAAAUGCGUAGAUAUCGUAAGGAAGACCAGUGGCGAAGGCGGGUCUCUGGACAGUUCCUGACGCUGAGGCACGAAGGCCAGGGGAGCAAACGGGAUUAGAUACCCCAGUAGUCC